GCGAGUGAUGAGAUUCGCAGACUAGAGUCUCCGACAUGAACGUGAGUGAUAUCACAGUGCUCUGACCC
rnacentral:snoRNA from 1 species